rnacentral:rRNA from 1 species
UACGUAGGGGGGCUAGCGUUGUCCGGAAUCAUUGGGCGUAAAGCGCGCGUAGGCGGUCAGGUAAGUCCGGUGUGAAAGUCAAAGGCUCAACCUUUGAAUGCCGCUGGAUACUGCUUGACUUGAGUCCGGAAGGGGCGAGUGGAAUUCCUGGUGUAGCGGUGAAAUGCGCAGAUAUCAGGAGGAACACCAAUGGCGAAGGCAGCUCGCUGGAACGGUACUGACGCUGAGGCGCGAAAGCGUGGGGAGCGAACAGG